GUGCAAAAGUAAUUGUGGUUUUUGCCAUUAAAAGUAAUGGCAAAAGCUACAGUUACUUUUGCACCAACCCAAUA
rnacentral:miRNA from 1 species